CUGGGCGUGAGCGGUAGGAGGGGGUGGGGGUCGGGCCGCGGUGCCGGCGGUUGGUGCCGUUCCCGGCCGUUGCCCCCCUCAGCAGGGGUGGUGCGAUGCUUGUGGCGCGGCUGGCGGCGGGCUCCUGGCCCCUUCCCCGCCCUCGAUAGAAAUCAGCACCGUAGUUACGGGGACAUCUGGAACACUGUGGCUUUCUAGAACCUUCCAGAAACCCUUCCUUGCAGAACAAAGAAUUGGAAACAAUACACCAGAAAGAGACCUUAAGAAGUCAUCUGCUCACUCGUCUUCCCAACAGUACAUCACGCUGGUCUCAACAGACAUUUGACCACUUUCUCCUAAAAACCUCCAUGGGCAAAGAUGUAUCACUACCCAGAGGUAUCAUUGCAUGCAUCCUAUUUUCAUCUGAAAAAAAUGUUCACCCUUUGCAGAACUUCCAUGGAUGAAUUCCCCAUCCUGCUAAGAAAAUUAAUUUGAAUGGGAAACACCAGAAGGGAAAAGUGUUUGGAUCUGAGUUACCAAUGCACAGCUGAAAAUUCACAAAAUCUCAACAAGCAACAAUAUGAAUGGCUGAGGAAGCUAGACUGGAUGUUGAGCACUCCUGAAUUAAAUAAAAGGAGCUGUCCUUAUGGCUGAACUAUCCCUCCAGAUCACAGAAGAAAGGUCUGGAGCUUUUCUUUAGGGAGAACAAAAGAGAUGUCACAGGGAAAAGAAGAAUGGAAUGACUUGAAAGGACCACCGCAAGCUUUGAAAAGGUGUCUUGAGAUAGCAUCCUUCUAUUUUAUUCUUUUCUUUUCUUUCCACUGUGCAUUUGUGUGGUUUUCUCCUGGGAUAUAACAUCUUCCAAAUUAUAUGAGUUCUUCUGAUCCAUUUUAUGACUGCUUAUGCCUAACACAAAUCCUGUAGAAAUAAUUUCACAUUUUUCCUUCCAGUUGUACUUUUAGUAACAUUUAUAAUUAUCUGCCAAUAAUCCUAUAUUUUUCAGCAAUAUCAAUUUAAAUGUGCUGAGUUAUCUUUCCACUGUAAUUUCUCCACUGCUGUUUCUAUUGCAGCAAUUUCAUGGACUAGAGCAUUGUAGAGCUAUAAUUUGGAAUAUAUAUAAAAUUUAUUGCGAGUUCCCAUCAAGUCAUAGGCUGUAGCACUGCUUGUGGUACACACUAUUAUUUCAUUGUAUUCUUUCAUUUCUGCUUGAAAUGUGAAAGAUUCUUUUCA